ACUGCCACCGAACAAGUAUUGACAGAAUUAGAACGGUUUUUGCGUAGGAUUGGGUGUUGCGUUACUUUCAACAAAUAGCAUAAACAGAUACAGGAUGGUAGUCCACGAACAACCACGUAACCACCUUUUACAAAAAUAGUGGGACAAAUUUGAACUUGAUAGAUAAACUAAACCGCCUGAGAAGUUGUCUGAGAAUAUUCAGAAUUUGGUAAAGUUCUGCGUUGCAUCACGUUGCAAAUGUUUGCAAACGUUUAGAAAUAGACGUCAACUUUAACGUACGAGGUAACGUUAGAAACAGUCUUGUUUUUCCAAAUCCUCUGGUAAAACCUCUGGAUGAUCUAUGCAUCGCUGAGCAAAUAAACAAACAUAGUUUCCUCGCAUAGUUUACGUUGAACGUUCUCACGAAUACUGAAGGAAAUUUGCGCCUUUCGUUCAGCGAGGUUUCUUCCUUUCUCGGAACAAAAACAUAUCUCUCGGAGGAUCGAGCAGAACGUAUUUACUUACUAUCGUGUUCUCUGAUUCUCUGCCACUCUCCGGGCACUUGGUCAGCAAUUUAUCGUGGCACUUCUUGUGCACCGCCGUUUGGCAGGCUGAAACGCAGGAGUGGAAUAUUAAUAGAGUUUCCCGCCUCGUGACGCUCGAAUUCUACAGCGCUCGGCCGCGUAAUGCCAGAAGAAUUCUCGUCCAACG